rnacentral:rRNA from 1 species
AAUAUUGGACAAUGGGGGCAACCCUGAUCCAGCCACGCCGCGUGUGUGAAGAAGGUCUUCGGAUUGUAAAGCACUUUAAGGUGGGAGGAAGGGCGGUAGGUUAAUACCCUGCAGUUUUGACGUUACUAACAGAAUAAGCACCGGCUAACUCUGUGCCAGCAGCCGCGGUAAUACAGAGGGUGCAAGCGUUAAUCGGAAGUACUGGGCGUAAAGCGGGCGUAGGUGGUUCAGUAAGAUGGGUGUGAAAGCCCCGGGCUUAACCUGGGAACUGCUUUCAUAACUGCUGAGCUAGAGUACGGUAGGGGGUAGUGGAAUUUCCUGUGUAGCGGUGAAAUGCGUAGAUAUAGGAAGGAACACCAGUGGCGAAGGCGACUACCUGGACUGAUACUGACACUGAGGUGCGAAAGCGUGGGGAGCAAAC